UACGAAGGGGGCUAGCGUUGUUCGGAUUUACUGGGCGUAAAGCGCACGUAGGCGGAUCUUUAAGUCAGGGGUGAAAUCCCGAGGCUCAACCUCGGAACUGCCUUUGAUACUGGGGAUCUCGAGUCCGGGAGAGGUGAGUGGAACUGCGAGUGUAGAGGUGAAAUUCGUAGAUAUUCGCAAGAACACCAGUGGCGAAGGCGGCUCACUGGCCCGGUACUGACGCUGAGGUGCGAAAGCGUGGGGAGCAAACAGG
rnacentral:rRNA from 1 species